UGAGAUUCUUUGGCCGUCUGUCCGCCCGUGGGUGCCCUCGUGGCGUUCUUGGAAAUGCGCCCAUUCUGCCGGCUUGGAUAUGGGGUGUCGCCGCGCCCCAGUCACCCCUUCUCGUGGUCUCCCCAGGCUGCGUGUGGCCUGCCGGCCUUCCUAGUUGUCCCCUACUGCAGAGCCACCUCCACCUCACCCCCUAAAUCCCGGGGGACCCACUCGAGGCGGACGGGGCCCCCUGCACCCCUCUUCCCUGGCGGGGAGAAAGGCUGCAGCGGGGCGAUUUGCAUUUCUAUGAAAACCGGACUACAGGGGCAACUCCGCCGCAGGGCAGGCGCGGCGCCUCAGGGAUGGCUUUUGGGC
rnacentral:lncRNA from 1 species